rnacentral:rRNA from 2 species
UAGGGUGGUUAUAGCAUUAGGGCUCACCUCUUCCCAUACCGAACAGAGAAGUUAAGCCUAAUAGCGCCGAUGGUACUGCAUUUAUGUGGGAGAGUAGGUCGCUGCCUUUC